rnacentral:rRNA from 1 species
GUGCCAGCCGCAGCGGUAAUACGUAGGUGGCAAGCGUUAUCCGGAAUUAUUGGGCGUAAAGCGCGCGUAGGCGGUUUCUUAAGUCUGAUGUGAAAGCCCACGGCUCAACCGUGGAGGGUCAUUGGAAACUGGGAAACUUGAGUGCAGAAGAGGAAAGUGGAAUUCCAUGUGUAGCGGUGAAAUGCGCAGAGAUAUGGAGGAACACCAGUGGCGAAGGCGACUUUCUGGUCUGUAACUGACGCUGAUGUGCGAAAGCGUGGGAUCAAACAGGAUUAGAUACCCUGGUAGUCCACGCCGUAAACGAUGAGUGCUAAGUGGUUAGGGUUUACCG